GAUGAAGAACGCAGCGAAAUGCGAUAAGUAAUGCGAAUUGCAGAAUUCCAGUGAGUCAUCGAAUCUUUGAACGCACAUUGCGCCCCCUGGUAUUCCGGGGGGCAUGCCUGUCCGAGCGUCAUUGCUGCCCUCAAGCACGGCUUGUGUGUUGGGCCUCCGUCCUCCUCCCGGGGGACGGGCCCGAAAGGCAGCGGCGGCACCGCGUCCGGUCCUCGAGCGUAUGGGGCUUCGUCACCCGCUCUUGUAGGCCCGGCCGGCGCUUGCCGACACAUCAAUCUUUUUUCCAGGUUGACCUCGGAUCAGGUAGGGAUACCCGCUGAACUUAAGCAUAUCAAUAAGCGGAGGA
rnacentral:misc_RNA from 1 species